rnacentral:rRNA from 1 species
UGGGGAAUCUUGCGCAAUGGGCGGAAGCCUGACGCAGCGACGCCGCGUGCGGGAAGAAGGCCUUCGGGUUGUAAACCGCUUUCAGGAGGGACGAAGCCACUCGGGUGAAUAGCCCAGAGGGUGACGGUACCUCCAGAAGAAGCCCCGGCUAACUACGUGCCAGCAGCCGCGGUAAUACGUAGGGGGCCAGCGUUGUCCGGAUUCAUUGGGCGUAAAGCGCGUGUAGGCGGCCAGGUAGGUCCGAUGUGAAAACUGGAGGCUCAACCUCCAGCUGUCAUUGGAAACCAUCUGGCUAGAGUCCGGAAGAGGAGAGUGGAACUCCUGGUGUAGCGGUGAAAUGCGCAGAUAUCAGGAAGAACACCAAUGGCGAAGGCAGCUCUCUGGGACGGUACUGACGCUGAGACGCGAAAGCGUGGGGAGCGGAACAGGAUUUGAUACCCUGGUAGUCCACGCCGUAAACGAUGGGCGCUAGGUGUGGGCGGUGUCGACUCCGUCCGUGA